rnacentral:SRP_RNA from 1 species
GCCGGGUGUGGUGGCUCGUGCCUGUAGUCCCAGCUACUUGGGAGGCUGAGGUGGGAGGAUCGCUUGAGCCCAGGAGUUCUGGGCUGUAGUGCACUAUGCUGAUCGGGUGUCCACACUAUUAGGCAUCAAUAUGGUGACCUCCUGGGAGCGGGGGGACCACCAGGUUGACUAAGGAGGGGUGAACCGGCCCAGGUCAGAAACGGAGCAGGUCAAAACUCCCGUGCUGAUCAGUAGUGGGAUCAUGCCUGUGAAUAGCCACUGCACUCCAGCCUGGGCAACAUAGCGAGACCCUGUCUCUA